GGGUAGCCGGCCUGAGAGGGCGACCGGCCACAUUGGGACUGAGAUACGGCCCAGACUCCUACGGGAGGCAGCAGUGGGGAAUAUUGCACAAUGGGCGCAAGCCUGAUGCAGCGACGCCGCGUGAGGGAUGGAGGCCUUCGGGUUGUAAACCUCUUUUGUUAGGGAGCAAGGCACUUUGUGUUGAGUGUACCUUUCGAAUAAGCACCGGCUAACUACGUGCCAGCAGCCGCGGUAAUACGUAGGGUGCAAGCGUUAUCCGGAAUUAUUGGGCGUAAAGGGCUCGUAGGCGGUUCGUCGCGUCCGGUGUGAAAGUCCAUCGCUUAACGGUGGAUCCGCGCCGGGUACGGGCGGGCUUGAGUGCGGUAGGGGAGACUGGAAUUCCCGGUGUAACGGUGGAAUGUGUAGAUAUCGGGAAGAACACCAAUGGCGAAGGCAGGUCUCUGGGCCGUUACUGACGCUGAGGAGCGAAAGCGUGGGGAGCGAACAGGAUUAGAUACCCUGGUAGUCCACGCCGUAAACGGUGGAUGCUGGAUGUGGGGCCCGUUCCACGGGUUCCGUGUCGGAGCUAACGCGUUAAGCAUCCCGCCUGGGGAGUACGGCCGCAAGGCUAAAACUCAAAGAAAUUGACGGGGGCCCGCACAAGCGGCGGAGCAUGCGGAUUAAUUCGAUGCAACGCGAAGAACCUUACCUGGGCUUGACAUGUUCCCGACGAUCCCAGAGAUGGGGUUUCCCUUCGGGGCGGGUUCACAGGUGGUGCAUGGUCGUCGUCAGCUCGUGUCGUGAGAUGUUGGGUUAAGUCCCGCAACGAGCGCAACCCUUAUUGUUAGUUGCCAUCAUUUAGUUG
rnacentral:rRNA from 1 species